rnacentral:rRNA from 1 species
GACGAACGCUGGCGGCGUGCCUAAUACAUGCAAGUCGAGCGGAUGGAUGGGAGCUUGCUCCCAGAAGUCAGCGGCGGACGGGUGAGUAACACGUGGGCAACCUGCCCCUAAGAUCGGGAUAACUUCGGGAAACCGGAGCUAAUACCGGAUAUGAUUAUGUCUCACAUGAGACAUAAUGGAAAGACGGUUUCGGCUGUCACUUAGGGAUGGGCCCGCGGCGCAUUAGCUAGUUGGUGAGGUAACGGCUCACCAAGGCGACGAUGCGUAGCCGACCUGAGAGGGUGAUCGGCCACACUGGGACUGAGACACGGCCCAGACUCCUACGGGAGGCAGCAGUAGGGAAUCUUCCGCAAUGGACGAAAGUCUGACGGAGCAACGCCGCGUGAGUGAAGAAGGUUUUCGGAUCGUAAAACUCUGUUGUUAGGGAAGAACAAGUACCAUAGUAACUGAUGGUACCUUGACGGUACCUAACCAGAAAGCCACGGCUAACUACGUGCCAGCAGCCGCGGUAACAC